rnacentral:rRNA from 1 species
AUAUCAGUCAUGCAUAGCAUAUCAAUAAGCGGAGGAAAAGAAACUAACAAGGAUUCCCCUAGUAACGGCGAGUGAAGCGGGAAGAGCUCAAAUUUGAAAUCUUAAAGGGUUUCCCUUUACGAAUUGUAGUUUAAAGAAGUGUUUUCUGUUGAGGUUUUGGUAAAAGUUCUUUGGAAUAGGACAUCAUAGAGGGUGAGAAUCCCGUAUUUGACCUUUACUUUCAACUUUGUGAUACACUUUCAAAGAGUCGGAUUGUUUGGGAAUGCAGUCCAAAAUGGGUGGUAAAUUUCAUCUAAAGCUAAAUAUUGGCGAGAGACCGAUAGCGAACAAGUACCGUGAGGGAAAGAUGAAAAGAACUUUGAAAAGAGAGUUAAACAGUACGUGAAAUUGUCAAAAGGGAAGCGUUUGACACCAGUGUUGUUUUUCUGAAAAUCAAUUAAAGAACUGUUUAUGCUAAGUUGUUUAGACUUUAUCAGCUAUCUGUUUAGUUUUGAGCUUUUCUUUAAUGCACUUUUCAGUUAACAAGUCAACAUCAAUUUCUUUUGCUGUAAAAAAGCUUGAGGAAGGUGGCUUGAGAUUCGUCUUAAGUGUUUAUAGCCUCUUGCCUAUGCAGUCGGAGAGAUUGAGGUCUGCAGCGUAGAUCCUUCGGGACUAAAUGCAUUUGUGCUAAGUUAUAGCAUUUUAUAGACAACUUGUUGACUAUGAUUUGUCUUGUAGCUUACUCGCUUGAUGUUAUUUUACCUACGCUUAGGAUGUUGACGCGCGUGUGUGCGUG